AGUCUGAUUAUGGCUCAGAUUGAACGCUGGCGGGAUGCUUUACACAUGCAAGUCGAACGGCAGCACGGACUUCUGGUCUGGUGGCGAGUGGCGAACGGGUGAGUAAUGUAUCGGAACGUGCCUAGUAGCGGGGGAUAACUACGCGAAAGCGCAGCCACACGCCGCCCUUCGGGGAAAGCGGGGGACCUUCGGGCCUCGCACUAUUAGAGCGGCCGAUAUCGGAUUAGCUAGUUGGUGGGGUAACGGCUCACCAAGGCGACGUAGAUCCGUAGCUGGUUUGAGAGGACGACCAGCCACACCGGGACUGAGACACGGCCCAGACUCCUACGGGAGGCAGCAGUGGGGAAUUUUGACAAUGGGGAAACUCCUGAUCCAGCCAUCCUCUGGCGUGUGCGAUGAAGGCCUCUGGUUACAAAGCACUUUUGGCAGGAAAGAAACGGCACGGGAUAAUACCCCUGUGCAACUGACGGUACCUGCAGAAUAAGCACCGGCUAACUACGUGCCAGCAGCCGCGGUAAUACGUAGGGUGCAAGCGUUAAUCGGAAUUACCGGGCGUAAAGGAAGUAAGGUUCGGAAAGAAAGAUGAAAUCCCAGAGCUUAACUUUUGGAACUGCAUUUUUAACUACCGAGCUAGAGGUCAGAGGGAGGUGGAAUUCGCGUAGCAGUGAAAUGCGUAGAUAUGUGAUGGAACACCGAUGGCGAAGGCAGCCUCCUGGGAUAACACUGACGCUCAUGCACGAAAGCGUGGGGAGCAAACAGGAUUAGAUACCCUGGUAGUCCACGUCCAAACGAUGUCAACUAGCUGCUGGGGCCUUCUGGCCUUGGUAGCGCAGCUAACGCGUGAAGUUGACCGCCUGGGGAGUACGGUCGCAAGAUUAAACUCAAAGGAAUUGACGGGGACCCGCACAAGCGGUGGAUGAUGUGGAUUAAUCUGAUGCAACGCGAAAAACCUUACCUACCCUUGACAUGUCUGGAAUCCCGAAGAGAUUUGGGAGUGCUCGCAAGAGAACCGGAACACAGGUGCUGCAUGGCUGUCAGCUCGUGUCGUGAGAUGUUGGGUUAAGUCCCGCAACGAGCGCAACCCUUGUCAUUAGUUGCUACGAAAGGGCACUUCCAUCGAGACUGCCGGUGACAACCGAGGAAGGUAAUGAUGUCAAGUCCUGCUGGCCCUUAUGGGUAGGGCUUCACACGUCAUACAAUGGUCGGGACAGAGGGUCGCCAACCCGCGAGGGGAGCCAAUCCCAGAAACCCGAUCGUAGUCCGGAUCGCAGUCUGCAACUCGACUGCGUGAAGUCGGAAUCGCUAGUAAUCGCGGAUCAGCAUGUCGCGGUGAAUACGUUCCUGGCCCGUACACACCGCCCGUCACACCAUGGAGUGGGUUUUACCAGAAGUAGUUAGCCUAACCGUAAGGAGGGCGAUUACCACGGUAGGAUUCAUGACUGGGGUGAAGUCGUAACAAGGUAA
rnacentral:rRNA from 1 species